UUAGAGGAGACUUGGUUUCUUUCUUUCUUUCUUUCUUUCUUUCUUUCUUUCUUUCUUUCUUUUUUUUUGAGACUUAGUUUCUUAUCAUGAAAAUCAGCAUGGCUGGAACCCACUGAACGCGUGCUCCCUGAGUCAGAGACGGAGCCGUGUGUGACAGCGCCCAGGAGUUCCGGAACAAAGGCCACGGCUAGGAUGUCCGUAAACAAAGGGACUCCUGCGGGCGGCCUUGUGGGCUCACAGGUUUAUUUCCUCCUAGUUAAAGCCACCACAAAAUCAUCUUUUGCCCACUCUUAGAAAUGAUCAUAUCGGAAAUGGUAUUACCAGAUCCAGAAUGAAAAUGGUAAAUGACAUAAGAUCUUACAAGAAUGAAAGUCCCGGCCAAACUGCUUUCACAGGAAACUAAGGCCUUUUCGGUGUGGACCUGGAUCCAUAAACCACCAGCUGUGCCAGGCAUGAAAGAGCAGACCACACUGUAGCCAGUCUGUGUGUCCCCUACAUCUCGAGGCUUCUCUCUACUAUUCUCUCAAGAAGCAGGAACCAGCCAUCACUGGAAAU
rnacentral:lncRNA from 12 species